UUGAUCAAAUGUAGGGGUCCUUUCAUAACUAUAAUACGGAGCUGUUGAAAAAACAAAAUACAUUGAAUGAAAUAACGUUUAAGGAAAGAAGUUAGAAAGAAUGAAGAUAAUGUACUAUAAUGUAGCAGUUACUAUACUUGUCAUCGCAGUGUCAACUGACAUGGUAUUAUCAUGUCCCAGCAAUUGUUACUGCACCACAAAUAGCAAUGGGGUUACUGUAAAUUGUGAUAAUAGAGGACUGACCGUUAUUCCGAGAAACUUCACAAAUGACUCAUACUACAUAAAUAUGAAUAGUAAUCCCAUUACUAUAGUGGAAGAAGGAACCUUUCAAAAUAUGGCAUUACUUCU